rnacentral:lncRNA from 1 species
GAGGAGCAAGCCAGUAAGCAGCAUCCCCCUGUGGCCACUGUAUCAGCUCCUGCCUCCAGGCUGCUAGGCUGUGAGACCUCAAGUCAAAGUCAAUCCUAUGAUGAGUCAGACUGACAAGUUCUACUAGAGGGCUGGAGAGCAGACUCGGCUCCCUGAAGAUGAUCAGACGGUUUGCAGCUGGAAGUAACACUUGGUGGCUAUUUGUCUGCUGUAUCCACAUUACAGGAUGAGAUGUUCCCAAGAAUAAUUCCUAGUGAUCCUGGGGCUGCUCAUGAGAUCUUUGCCAGCAAGAGAGGUGUGCUUGUCCCUGUCUGUGUUUGGGGUGAUAGAAGAUUCUGGUAGCUGCUGUGAAACAGAUACUGCAUAUCAGCAUCUGGGGUUUGAUCAUCUUGGAGAAAACUUGACUCUUCCUGAUGUAUUUGUGAAUAGACUUCCCACUCUACUCCGUCAGCCUUUAGAUGUGGAUUAUUGGGAGAGAUGUUUGAUUGCUUUUGUUCCUCUUUAAAAGAAUUUAAUUUUGGAUUGGCAUGUAAUAUUUGUAUACACUUAAGUGGUAAAAUGUGAUGGUUUUAAUUGGUACAUAAUACUGGGAAGUAUCAACACAACAUAGUUAUCACAUUUUUCACCUUAGACUGUUAUCAUUUCCUUAUUGUCAGAACCUCAAGAAGCCCCUCUUUAACCAUUUGAAGAUACACAAUGCAUUGUGGCUAAUUAUAUCCUCCCUACUGUGGUAGGGCACACCAGAACCUACCCUAACUAACAGUAACAUGAGCCAGCUCUCUGUCUCCCAAGCUCCUCUCUGCUCCAUCUCUGGUCGCCAGUACACUGCUCUCCACUUCUUUGAAGUCUUACAUGCAAAUGGGAUUGGGUAGUGUUUGCCUUUUUGGACAUGAAUUACUUCAGUCUGCAUAAUGGCCUCUGAGUGUCUGCAUUAUAUUGCAAAUCACAAAAUGUCAUUCUAUUUAUAGCUAAAUAAUAUUCCACAGCAUAUUCACACAAUAUACUGUUUUCCUACCUAUUUAUGCAUGGUGAACAUUUAGGAUAAUUCCAUUUCCUGGAUAUUUUUAAUAUAGCAAAUAAGAGUAGAAGUCCAGAUGUCUUUUGAUAUGUUGAGUUCAUUUUCUUUUAUACAUUCCCAGUGGUAGAAUUGUUGGUUCCUAUGAUAGCUUUGAUUUUAUGGGUUUGUUUGUUGGUUUGUUUAAGGAAUUUUGCUUUGAAAUAGUUGUAGAGUACUCUUCUACAGGAGCCAAAGACCACUUAAGCACAGCACCAAUACCAAAUCUGAGGAGCCAUGUAUUUGAAGAAGGGAUAAGAAGGUUAUAUGGGAGGUUUUGGAGGGUGGAAAGAGAAGGGAGAAAUGUUGUAAUUAUAUUAUAAUCUUAAAAAAAAAAUAAAGUUAAUAGAAGAGAAAAAUUGAGUUCCUUUUUUUUUCUUUUUCUUUUUGCAUCCUUACCAGGGAAUGCUCCUCGGUUAGUUACUUAGUUGGUAUAUGUGUGCAUGCGAGUGUGUAUGCAUAUGGAUGCUGGAGGUCAUUGUCAAGUGUCUUCCUCAAGCUCUCUUCCACCUCACCGAAUCUGGGGCUUCUGAUUUAGUUGGCAUGCCUGGCUAGUGAGUCCAGGGACCAACCUGUUGUUAUCUCCCAAGUAGCUGAACAGCUGCACCUGACUUUAAAGUUUUUCUUCAAAAAAUUUAAUUUAAUGUACUUUUAUUGUACUUUUAAUUUAGUGUUUUGUUGUUAUGCCUGGCUUCUUACGUGCUUUCUGGGGUUUUGAAUUCUUGUCUUUGUGGUUGUGUGUCAAGAACUUUACUGACUAAGCCACUUACCAAGGAUCUCUCCCCCUUUUCCAUCAUAGCCAUCUUAACUGAGAUAGAAGCUCAUUGUUUGGAUCUUCAUUUUUAUAUUAUUCAAAACGAUGUUGAACAUUUUUUUAAAAUUAUGUCUGUUGUUAUUUGACCAUCUCUUUGAAAAUAAAUGCUUAUUC